GGGGAAUAUUGCACAAUGGGCGAAAGCCUGAUGCAGCGACGCCGCGUGAGGGAUGACGGCCUUCGGGUUGUAAACCUCUUUCAGCAGGGAAGAAGCGAAAGUGACGGUACCUGCAGAAGAAGCGCCGGCUAACUACGUGCCAGCAGCCGCGGUAAUACGUAGGGGGCUAGCGUUGUCCGGAUUUACUGGGCGUAAAGGGUGAGUAGGCGGUAAUGUGUGUCAGAUGUUUAAUCUAUGAGCUCAACUCAUAUCAGCAUUUGAAACUACAUAACUUGAGUGCAGGAGAGGUAAGUGGAAUUCCUAGUGUAGCGGUGGAAUGCGUAGAUAUUAGGAGGAACACCGGUGGCGAAGGCGACUUACUGGACUGUAACUGACGCUGAGACACGAAAGCGUGGGGAGCGAACA
rnacentral:rRNA from 1 species